GGUGGAAGCUUCGCGUGUGUGUCGUUUUUUGUUCUGACACAGCGCAGUGCGUCUUGUGAUAAUCCAGUAUGCCGUGCUUCAAGUGUCGUUGAGUUUCGGUGGUGUGUUUUUGAAGUGUGUCACAGCGCCCAUGUGAUUUGUCGUUCUUCGUGCUGCAUGUUUGCUUACGGUUGGCCGCCCCUGCGCCGUGUUGAGCGCAGUUAAUUGAGCCGUGACGUGGUCUCCUCGCGGUCGUCAUGAGGGAGUGACUGUCUGAGCUAUUGGAUCUUCUUCGCUGUUGGCAGGAAGCGAGAGCUACCAGCUGCAAGCGAGUGGGUGUUUGUUUGUCGCGUUGUAUCAAUUGUGUGUUUCGGGGUCAGCCCCUAGACUGUUGCUCCAAGCACUGCACUGCAAACAAACUUGUGUGCUUUUGCAAGUGGAGAGCGCCUUUCGUGCUGUUCAACAACGCAUUCUGAGAAAAAGAAUGGGAAUUCUUCUUUUCUGAUUGGAAGUCUGAAGGAAGCACGCUAUGUCAUCGGUGGCUUGAAACGAGAGAUCAAGUAACUGAAGCCGGAGGUAAUGUGAGUAGGCUGGCAGCGUGCAGCAUGGCAGCGGUGAGAUGACUGAUGUGCCACCGCUGCUGCUGCUGCUCCU